GAUGAACGCUAGCUACAGGCUUAACACAUGCAAGUCGAGGGGUAGCAGGGUAGCAAUACCGCUGACGACCGGCGCACGGGUGAGUAACACGUAUCCAACCUUCCCAUAACUCAGGAAUAGCCUUUCGAAAGAAAGAUUAAUACCUGAUAGCACUUAAGAAAGGCAUCUUUUUUAAGGUAAAGAUUUAUCGGUUAUGGAUGGUGAUGCGUUCCAAUGGAUAGUUGGUGAGGUAACGGCUCACCAAGUGUUUGAUGGAUGGGGGUUCUGAGAGGAAGGUCCCCCACAUUGGUACUGAGACACGGACCAAACUCCUACGGGAGGCAGCAGUGAGGAAUAUUGGUCAAUGGGCGAGAGCCUGAACCAGCCAAGUAGCGUGAAGGAUGAAGGUCCUAUGGAUUGUAAACUUCUUUUAUAGUAGAAUAAAGUGAGCCACGUGUGGUUUUUUGUAUGUAUACUAUGAAUAAGGAUCGGCUAACUCCGUGCCAGCCGCCGCGGUAAGAC
rnacentral:rRNA from 1 species